GACGAACGCUGGCGGCGUGCUUAACACAUGCAAGUCGAGCGGGUAAGGCCCUUCGGGUACGACGAGCGGCGAACGGGUGAGUAACACGUGGGUGACCUGCCUCUAGCUCUGGGAUAAGCCUGGGAAACGUGGGUCUAAUACCGGAUAUGACUCCACGGCGCAUGUUGUGGGGUGGAAAGCCUUGUGUGCUAGAGAUGGGCCCGCGGCCUAUCAGCUUGUUGGUGGGGUGAUGGCCUACCAA
rnacentral:rRNA from 1 species